CAGGUGUAGUUCAAUGGUAGAACUUCAGCCUUCCAAGCUGAAUACGCGGGUUCGAUUCCCGUCACCUG
rnacentral:tRNA from 1 species